UCGGAAGGUUGCCGGUUUGAACCCCGGCUCUGACAGUCUCGGUCGUUGUGUCCUUGGGCAAGAUACUUCACCCGUUACCUGGUGGUGGUCAGAGGGCCCGGUAGCGCCAGUGUCUGGUAGCCUCACCUCUGUCAGUGCGCCCCAGGGCAGCUGUGACUACAAUGUAGCUUACCAUCACCAGUGUGUGAGUGUGUGUGAAUGGUUGGAUGACUGGAUGUGUAAAGCGCUAUACAAAUACAGGCCAUUUACCAUCAAAUAAAUAUCCAUGUAGAAUUGUUCAAAGUGACCAUUAUGUUCAUAGAUGUUAAAAAUACCUGAAAAUAAGAUGAGUUCAGUGACAGUUAGUGUUUGUUGUAAUCAAUUUAUUAAUAACAAAACACUUUUAAACUAAUGCAACACAUAUAACAAUGUCACAAAAUAUUCAAAUAAAUACAUUUCUUAAUGCAUAACUGAUUUUGGAACUGAUCUUUCAAGAAGUGAAAUCAGUCUGUCCAUCCUCUCCCUGAUCAAAUCGAUCGAUUCGGGACCUCGUGAAUCUGAAUUGAAUCGAUUCUAGAAACAGUUAUAGCGUGAUGACUGGCAGGAGAAGAUCUCACCCUGUGUUUCUCUGCCUGUGGUAGAGGUGGAACCAGAUCAAGUGGCGCUCAUUCUUGAACAGCCUCAAGUCAGAGCUGCCUCCUCUCAUCAGGUGAAACGGACUUCAGUGAGAACACCUGAGCAGCAGGAGCCCCACUUCACAGACUGCAGACUGUACCUGCGAGACACGAUUUUUCAGGUCAACAUCAGCUGCAGCACACUCACUGUGACGCUUACCCUUCCGCAGCUCUGAUUUGGGACACGAUCCCGGAUUGAAGAACAGGCUGUGUGGUUUGGAUGCUUCACCUCAGCACACUGAGCACAACUGGCACACACACAGGCACAUGUUACACCUCAGUGCAGUCAGUCCAUGUUUUUAUCUAAACAUCUGAUUGAUUAUCUGAGAAAACAGUUCCCGGUGAAGUGUGUGACUUUACAAAACCGUCCCUUUCACUCACUCACAAAUUCACCCCCCCUUACCCUCGUCUCCACCCAACACAUCUCUGUCCUUGUCCUGCUCACUCGCUGUAGCGCGACAGCUCGAGUCGAGGGAUGAUGUUCACGGACUGCAGCUCCUGGUAGAGCAGCUUUCUGGCGUACGGGACACGGCGUACAGGUUCUCUGAGGGAAAAGCAGGGCUCAGGCAGUGUGUGCACAUCAGGCUAACACAUACACAAGGGGCUAAGCAACUUUGAACGACUUUAGAAGCUGUCUUACUUUACUGUUUGUCUUAAAGGUUUAGGAGCUGUGUCUCUAUUUCACUAAGGCCUGCAAUGCUUCAAAUAAAGUACAUUAAUUAACUACAACUACAUUUUUUAAACCACUGAAGAAUGCAGAGAACUGACUAAAGCUCAAUAAUAUUGAGCUCUUAGUGUGUUUUGUCUACUCAGUUUGGUGUCUGCUUCUUUACUUGGUCCACGAUUAUCUCUGCACCAUCUUUCUCCCGUUGUAUCUCUCCUCAUGCCGCACCUUGAUGUGUCCUGUCCUCGGAUGUAUUCUUCCGGCUGCCUCCUGGUUUCCACCUCGAGUUUUAUUAUCCAAAUUUAAUGGUCUUGAUGGUCACUGUAGUGGCUAUAUUCAUUUCUUGAAAGUUCUCUCUUUCGCUUAUAUUUAAUAUAACCACACGACCUGACAAGCGCCUAUUUUUAUGCGUUGUCAACAACGAUGUAAAACCAUCGCGUGUCCGCUUGCUUAUGUGGAAAAUAAACAAGCGGACACGCGAUGGUUUUACAUCGUUGUUGACAACGCAUAAAAAUAGGUGCUUGUCAGGUCGUGUGGUUAUAUUAAAUAUAAGCGAAAGAGAGAACUUUCAAGAAAUGAAUAUAGCCGCUACAGUGACCAUCAAGACCAUUAAAUUUGGAUAAUAAAACUCGAGGUGGAAACCAGGAGGCAGCCGGAAGAAUACAUCCGAGGACAGGACACAUCAAGAGAACCUGUACGCCGUGUCCCGUACGCCAGAAAGCUGCUCUACCAGGAGCUGCAGUCCGUGAACAUCAUCCCUCGACUCGAGCUGUCGCGCUACAGCGAGUGAGCAGGACAAGGACAGAGAUGUGUUGGGUGGAGACGAGGUUGUGCUCAGUGUGCUGAGGUGAAGCAUCCAAACCACACAGCCUGUUCUUCAAUCCGGGAUCGUGUCCCAAAUCAGAGCUGCGGAAGGGUAAGCGUCACAGUGAGUGUGCUGCAGCUGAUGUUGACCUGAAAAAUCGUGUCUCGCAGGUACAGUCUGCAGUCUGUGAAGUGGGGCUCCUGCUGCUCAGGUGUUCUCACUGAAGUCCGUUUCACCUGAUGAGAGGAGGCAGCUCUGACUUGGGGCUGUUCAAGAAUGAGCGCCACUUGAUCUGGUUCCACCUCUACCACAGGCAGAGAAACACAGGCCUGGACUCUUUGUUGGCCAGACAAAAUCAGAAACGGAAAUCAUUGGUUUUUACAACUGGGUCCAGUUCCACCUGCAUAGGAUAUGAGGCCAGGGAGCAUGAUUUGGGUGGGGAUCCAAAUCAGUGUGGAGCACAAUACACCAUAGAGAUGUACAACUCUCCUGUUGAACACCUCAAGACUGAAGACUGCAAGGAAAGAACGCUAAUGUACACCGAGCAUCUGAAGAACAACAUGCAAGUGCUCAAACACAUUGGAUCCAAAACCUGUUCCAGUUCCUCAGACACCAUCAGAGACUGUUUUGAAAGCCCUCUACUAUCAAUCUGGAUAAAAAGAAACUUUGCCAACCACUGCAAGUAUCAAGUGUUUUAAAUUUUGUUGGUUGGUUGUAUUAAGUUUGAUAAUAAUUAGAUCAGUGCCUUUUUAGUCAUUAAUUUGAUUAUUAAAUAUUAACUGUUUAGGGCAGCACGGUGGCACGGUGGUUAGCACUGUUGCUGCACAGCAAGAAGGUCCUGAGUUCAAUUCCACCAUCAGGCCGGGGUCUUUCUUUGUGGAGUUUGCAUGGUUAAUUGAUUAAUCCAAAUUGCAUAGGUGUAAAUGUGAGUGCGAAUGGUUGUCUGUCCCUGUGUGUUAGCCCUGUGACAGACUGGUGACCUGUCCAGGGUGUACCCCGCCUCUCGCCCCAUGAAAGCUGGGAUAGGCUCCAGCGCGACCCUGAAAAAGGAUAAGUGGAAGCGGAUGGAUAUUAACUGUUUAAUUUAAUCAUUGUCUCUACUGGUUUUUAUUAAUGUUUCUAGCAAAUUAUGACAAAUUUUAAAACAAUUUUAUUCUAUUCUAAUUUUUCUAUUAGCCCUAUUAUGUUUAUUACCUCAUUUGUUGGACCUUAAUCUUUUUAGACGACAUUCUGGCUGCAACAGCUGCCAAUAUUUUCAUGUAAAUAUGAACUUUUGAAUAAAAAGGCAUGUCUUGUAUUAUACAGCUCUUCUGUGCUUUGUCAAUAGGAGAUGGUAAACAAGCUUAUUAAAAUGUAUUUUAACUGGUUUACUUUAUAAUAGUUUUUUAUUUCAGUGUAAUAAUUGUACAAAAACCAAAGUUCACUGUGAAUUUUACAUUUAUCAACAAGUAUACCGUUAUGUAUUCUGCAUUAUCACUAUAUUUUCCACG
ensembl:lncRNA